GUUAGAACCAAUUUCACAUAUCUCCAAGACACUACAAUUUAUCACAUUAAGUUUAACGUGAUCGAGAUAGAUGUUAGCUUCAAUGUAGAUCCAUAUUAAGUUUAACCGAAUACAAAAUACAUAGGAAAGUAAAGGGUGUGCCAUCUCACUAUCACAGGUCGUAGCUGCCACCAUGACUAUCGCCGCUGUUACUACAUUCUAUGCCCCUCUCUUUCCCUAGUGCGUUUCAGAACCCACUAUCAGCAACCAAACGAUGAGUAGCACCGCCAUUAAAGUUGCUGUGUUGGGAGGUGGAAUUUCAGGAGCUGUGUGUGCAUCAACUCUUGCCCGAAAUGGGGUUUCUGUAACUCUCUUUGAAUCAGCUAGAGGCCCUGGUGGCCGCAUGUCCCAAAGAAGAGAGAAAACUGAAGAUGGGAAGGAGCUGCAUUUCGACCAUGGUGCUCCAUUUUUCUCAGUUAGCAAGUCUGAAGUUUUAUGUCUAGUUCAAGAGUGGGAGUCAAGGGGUCUUGUAGCUGAAUGGAAAGAAAAGUUUGGCGCAUUUGAUUUUCACACCCUUAAAUUUAACAUAGAGCAGGAAGGAUUAAACAAGAGAUUUGUGGGUGUUCCAGGCAUGAAUUCUAUAUGCAAGGCAUUAUGCAGUGAAAGUGGUGUGGAAAGUAAGUUUGGUGCGGGUAUUGGAAGAGUUGAAUGGUUAGAUGAUGAGAAAUUGUGGUCAUUGAUAGCGGUGGAUGGACAAAAUCUUGGUCAAUUUAAGGGGGUUGUUGCAUCAGACAAGAAUAUAGUGUCUCUCAGGAUUGCAGAAGUGACAGGACGGUCACCGCCACUCGAUAUAAAGUUGGUGCCUGAGUUGUCAGAAGCAUUGCACAAUAUUCCUGUCAGGCCAUGUUUCACUGUAAUGCUGGCAUUUGCAGAGCCUCUGUCAACGAUUCCGGUGAAAGGCUUGUCUUUUAAAAAUUCCAAAGUUUUAAGUUGGGCUUAUUGUGAUAGCAGCAAGCCAAACCGUUCUACUACAAGCGAAAGAUGGGUUCUUCAUUCAACCGCAGAAUAUGCACAGGACAUAAUUGCUCAAACUGGACUCAAGAAGCCCUCAGACAUUACACUGAGUAAAGUGGCUGAAGAGCUUUUCCAAGAAUUUCAAAAUACAGGACUUAACAUAUCACAACCCUUUUUUAAGAGAGCCCAUAGAUGUCCCAAUGAGUAAUGAUUGAUGUUGUUCUGGGACGGGCGGACCACGCGCAUAGGGACGACCGGUCCAGUGCCCGAUCAUGAUCACCCGAGGGAGACCCAAGGGAGACGACCAGGGUAGGAUGUCCGGGCCCUGACCACGAGCAGGACGACACUCUCCUCUGGCCCUGGGCCCCACCACCUAGGGGUUGACCUAGGCCCACCAUCCUACGGAACUAGGGUGGUUGGAAGGUGGGUCCCUAGGUAAUCUAAGCCGUUGGAUCACUGUAAACCACAUAGGGAGCAGAAGGAUCCAACGGCCCUUAACCCGCCGGUACGGACCAUGCAUGACGUUGCAUGGCUCCAACCCUAAUACUCCAACGUGUAUAUAAAGGGGGCAACUCACCCACUCUAAGGGGGAGUGCAUUUCCAGCUACUAGUGUUGCUCCAGAGAACAAAUGUCUUUGGGACAGAAACAAGAGACUGGCCAUCUGUGGAGACUUCUGUGUUAGUCCCAAUGUUGAAGGUGCCAUAGAGAGUGGCAUGGCAGCAGC